UGCUGCCUUUGGUGUCAGCUUGCGCUAGAUACCAAAUACCAAAGCCACAAACAUAUAUCGUAUCUUUCAUUCAUUAAUAUGUAGAAAAUGUAGUGGUGACAUCCAUUAAUCAAAACGCUGUUUGCAAGGGCUGUUGGGAUCGGGACAUUUACUAAGAGGAUCUUUCAGCUGUGGAAUAGACUUUCAGUACAAUCAGAAUCGGUGCGCCAAAUGGGCAAAGAUUCCAGCAGAGGGGCGUAUUGGAAGCUUGAGUGAGUCAGAAUUCCAUAAUAAUGUCUUUUGAGGAAAGCGGGCCUGCCCUGAGCUGUUGUGGUCACCAUGCACAGUGGCUUGGAUCCCCGAACCUGGUCAGAUGUGAUUCUCCUGGGAACGUGGACUCUCAACGGCUCUCCGUGGCAUCGGCCUUCUGAGGGGGGAGCUAGAAGCCGCCUGCGGCCGGAACCCAAAGAAAAUAUACAUAAUGAGAUGAGAGCUGGACACGUCCAGUCAGCCUGUGGACUAGCUGGCAGAAGCAUCACUCAAGGCCUCAUGGUCAUGUUGGAUCAGGAAGGAGCCAUCCCCAAACUGUUCCCACAAAGUUGGGAGCAUGAAAUUCUCCAAAAUGGCUUUGAAUGCUACAGCAUUAAGAGUUACUCUCACUGGAAUUAAAGGACCAAGCCCAACCCCUAAAAAACAACCCCACACCAUAAUCCCCCCUCCACCAAACUUUACACAAUGCAGUCGGGUAGGUAACAUUCUCCUGGUUACCGCCAAACUCAGACUCAUCCAUCGGACUACCAGACAGAGAAGCGUGAUUCAUCACUCCAGAGAAGUCAUCUCCACUGCUCCAGAAUCCAGGGACGGCAUUCUUUACGCCAAUGCAUUCGAUGCAUUACAUUGCACUUGGUGAUGUACUCAGAAUCAGAAUCAGCUGCUCGGCCAUGGAAACCCAUUCCAUGAAGUUCUCUAUGCACUGUUCUUGAGCUAAUCUGAAGUCCACAAGAAGUUUGGAGGUCUGUAGCUAUUGACUCUGCAGACAGUUGGUGACGUCUGCACACUGUGGACGCUUCAGCAUGCCUUGUCCCCGCUCUGUGAUUUUACAUGGCCUACCACUUUGUGGCCGAGUUGCUGCUUUUCCCAAUUGCUUCCACUUUGUUAUAUAUAAUACCACUAACAGUUGAUCAUGGAAUAUUUAGUAGCAAGGAUAUUUUACGAAUGGACUUAUUGCACAGGUGGCAUCCUAUCACCAUGCUUGAAUUCACUGAGCUCCUGAGAGUGACCCAUCCUUUCACAACAGGUGAUUGAUUUUGUACACCUGUUGUCCUGCCCCGAUCGUCUGCUCCUUCCAUGUGCCCCGCCCCCUCGUUAACCUCAUGUGGAGUCCCCGUGUGAUCAGCUGUUUCUGGUUGUUGUCAUUAGUCCUCUGUAUUUAGUCUGCGUUUCAGUUUGUUUCCCCAGUCCGGUCAUUGUAAUGUCAACCUGCGUUUGCUGUCUGUUCGUUUAUUUUUACUUCCAUUAAAUCCUGCAUUUUCCCCAACUCCUGGCUUCCUGCGCUUCUAUCUACGUUCCGUGCGCCAUGAGACACAAACACCUGAAUUCAGUGAUUUGGCGGGGUAUCCCAAUACUUUUGGCUAUAUAGUGUACAUUCGACUUGUGUAUAUGAUCAUUUUAA